rnacentral:rRNA from 3 species
CCCAGACAGCCAGGAUGUUGGCUUAGAAGCAGCCAUCAUUUAAAGAAAGCGUAAUAGCUCACUGGUCGAGUCGGCCUGCGCGGAAGAUGUAACGGGGCUAAACCAUGCACCGAAGCUGCGGCAGCGAACGUAUCACUUAAAGCGAUUCAGCGGGUUACGAUUGACGGAGCGAAGCGACGUCAAAGCGUAUACAAAGUCGAGUCGGUUUAAGGAUACGUUCGUUGGGUAGGGGAGCGUUCUGUAAGCCUGUGAAGGUGGCCUGUGAGGGUUGCUGGAGGUAUCAGAAGUGCGAAUGCUGACAUAAGUAACGAUAAAGCGGGUGAAAAGCCCGCUCGCCGGAAGACCAAGGGUUCCUGUCCAACGUUAAUCGGGGCAGGGUGAGUCGACCCCUAAGGCGAGGCCGAAAGGCGUAGUCGAUGGGAAACAGGUUAAUAUUCCUGUACUUGGUGUUACUGCGAAGGGGGGACGGAGAAGGCUAUGUUGGCCGGGCGACGGUUGUCCCGGUUUAAGCGUGUAGGUGUGUGUUCCAGGUAAAUCCGGUUCACUUUAACACUGAGGCGUGAUGA